rnacentral:rRNA from 1 species
GACGAACCGUCCGAACGUUAUUCGGAAUCACUGGGCUUAAAGGGUGCGUAGGCGGCGCGGAAAGUUGGGUGUGAAAUCCCUCGGCUCAACCGAGGAACUGCGCCCAAAACUACCGUGCUCGAGGGAGAUAGAGGUGAGCGGAGCUUAGGGUGGAGCGGUGAAAUGCGUUGAUAUCCUAAGGAACACCGGUGGCGAAAGCGGCUCACUGGAUCUCUUCUGACGCUGAGGCACGAAAGCUAGGGUAGCUAACGGG